rnacentral:rRNA from 1 species
UAGGGAAUCUUCGGCAAUGGGGGGAACCCUGACCGAGCAACGCCGCGUGAGUGAAGAAGGUUUUCGGAUCGUAAAGCUCUGUUGUUAAGGAAGAACGAGUGUGAGAAUGGAAAGUUCAUGCUGUGACGGUACUUAACCAGAAAGGGACGGCUAACUACGUGCCAGCAGCCGCGGUAAUACGUAGGUCCCGAGCGUUGUCCGGAUUUAUUGGGCGUAAAGCGAGCGCAGGCGGUUAGAAAAGUCUGAAGUGAAAGGCAGUGGCUCAACCAUUGUAGGCUUUGGAUACUGUUUAACUUGAGUGCAGAAGGGGAGAGUGGAAUUCCAUGUGUAGCGGUGAAAUGCGUAGAUAUAUGGAGGAACACCGGUGGCGAAAGCGGCUCUCUGGUCUGUAACUGACGCUGAGGCUCGAAAGCGUGGGGAGCGAACAGG